GACGUAGGGCGCGAGCGUUGUCCGGAUUUAUUGGGCGUAAAGAGCUCGUAGGCGGCUUGUCGCGUCGACUGUGAAAACCCGAGGCUCAACUUCGGGCUUGCAGUCGAUACGGGCAGGCUAGAGUUCGGUAGGGGAGACUGGAAUUCCUGGUGUAGCGGUGAAAUGCGCAGAUAUCAGGAGGAACACCGAUGGCGAAGGCAGGUCUCUGGGCCACUACUGACGCUGAGAAGCGAAAGCAUGGGGAGCGAACAGG
rnacentral:rRNA from 1 species